rnacentral:lncRNA from 1 species
UUGCCUUUCCAAACACACAGUUAUAAUUCUAGUCUGCCUGAGGCAUCCAUCGCUCUGAAGGGAAAUCAGGGUCUGCUGCAGAAGGGAUACAAAGAAUAAGACCCAGGUGAUGUUCAGCUUUUGACAUUGAAAAUUCAGCUUUUGCCUAGCCCUGAGUCCUGAAGAGUUUCUCCUAUAUAGUUUUCUAAUAAUUUUUGUCUAAAGUUUUUGUCUAAAAAAUCAGCUGACAAUCCCUAACAAUCAGUUGUUUGCCAGGUGAUUAGCUGCCUCUCUACCUUCCUCGUGGUCCGAUAAACUGCAGGAACGUAUGGAAUCAUUCACACUUAGCUUGUGCUGGGCCAGGCCGCGCAUGUCACCUUGAGUUUCGCUGGCCGCUGACAAGACCUCAAGCUGCCAAGAGCUGCCGCACUAUCCUUCCCCGGCUCCCAUUUUAAUGGAAGGGGUCGCUGGCAGGGCCAGGAGAUUAAGAGCAUGCCCCUUAUUCAGCUUUAUCUCAGCAAGUAUUCAUAGUUUUAGAGUUGCAAGGGACCUUCUCAAAGGGAACAGGCUAAAACCAAGGAAUGUUCAGUGAUUUUUUUCCAAUUUACAGAAUCUUCAGCUUCUGACUCCCAGGCUGAGCUCUUUUCAUUGUCCCCACAAAGCACCAGCCAGUGGACUACUGGUCACUCCUCCUGGCCUGCCGCAGCCUCUGUCCCAUAACAGGGAGCAAACAGCUGUGGCGGCUCAGAGAAUCCGCCAGGUCGUAGCAAUUUAAUCCAGUGCUCUCAUGGGGAUCUGCUGUGAGCAUCUCAUGCAGGGGCUCCGAGCUGCCAGCUUUCCCUCCGAGCUGCCUUCAGCGUCCUGUCCUCGCCCUCACAGCCUGGGAGAUUUUGAUGUCAAUCCACUUGUUGCAAUCCUGCUGAUUAAGAUGAGAGGAAUUCAAGAUUGUGCAUACUAAUUAUUUACAUAUUUGACCAUUAUGGAACAAGAAUAAUGUGGAAUAGAACAAGAAGAUCUUCCAAGCUUGAAUCUUAAUAGAAGAAAAUCCAAUUCAAAGAUCAUUUACUCUUUUUUAGCUGACAGUUUCACUACAGUCUUGGUAAGAGGU